GUGGGGAAUAUUGGACAAUGGGCGAAAGCCUGAUCCAGCCAUGCCGCGUGUGUGAAGAAGGUCUUCGGAUUGUAAAGCACUUUAAGUUGGGAGGAAGGGUAGUAACCUAAUACGUUGCUACUUUGACGUUACCGACAGAAUAAGCACCGGCUAACUUCGUGCCAGCAGCCGCGGUAAUACGAAGGGUGCAAGCGUUAAUCGGAAUUACUGGGCGUAAAGCGCGCGUAGGUGGUUCAGUAAGUUGGAAGUGAAAUCCCCGGGCUCAACCUGGGAACUGCUUUCAAAACUGCUGAGCUAGAGUACGGUAGAGGGUGGUAGAAUUUCCUGUGUAGCGGUGAAAUGCGUAGAUAUAGGAAGGAACACCAGUGGCGAAGGCGACCACCUGGACUGAUACUGACACUGAGGUGCGAAAGCGUGGGGAGCAAACAGGAUUAGAUACCCGUGUAGUCC
rnacentral:rRNA from 1 species